rnacentral:lncRNA from 1 species
GUGGGAAGAGGUAGAGAGUGACUACUAUGAAAUCCUCGAAGAAGUGAUAAAGACAGAGAGUACUUAUCUUAAAGGUAAUAGUGUUAUUUUAUUUAAGUACCGAUGGUUUGAUAACGAUAAUUGUAUAAAGGUUGAUCCAUGGUACGGACAUUAAAAUCAAACAUGAAUCAAAAGUAUAUGUUAAUGAGCCCUUUGCGCUAGCUCAACAAGUUGUUCAAGUAUAUUAUACUU